CCACAUCUCAUGGCCAUAUACAUAUAAGUUAAUAUGAGCCAAUACAUUUGGGCAAAAUCAUAAUAACACAUACCAUGAAACUAGAUCCCUAUACAUACCACUCACUUGAAAAUUUCUAACAUAUGCUUCAUUAUUCCGAAGGUAGUGACUUGAUAGUGUGAUGCUGCCUCCGACGAUCUCCAACCCCGAGCCGACUUGACAACACUAAAGAAAUGGAGAGGAGGGAGUAAGCUUAAAGUAGUCCAUAU
rnacentral:lncRNA from 1 species